UUAAAAAUGUUAUCCAACAUAUUGUAGCGAAUGGUUAAAUGGAGACAUAGGAUGUUAUCUUUCAGAAAUGCACACAUUCAGCAACACACAGGAGCUCUCUCAAGCUGGGCACCAGUUCACUCACAGCACGAGACCUUCCUUGGGCUGAUAUGACCCUCUGCCUGCAACUUCCAUCUAUCCAAGGAUAGAUAAGUAUAUGGGUUAAAGAUAAGCUUGUUUAACCCAUCAAGGUUAGGCAUGUUAUGCGUUCUGAGAUGCUCUUCUAAAUAUCUCUUUUGUAACUCUGGCCUUUCUCCUCUGAAGUCUGCAUAACAAUGCAGUUUUCCCCGAGGCUACCUUAGCUGGAUGUUUGAUCUUUUUCCAAAACAUUCCGACGGCCACUUUUCUUCUGUGCCAGAUUCCAUCACUGUAAAAUUGCAAAAUAGGAACAUUGUGACCUACAUAUUUGCCACACCUAGUCAGCUCCAUACCCAUUUAAAGCAUCGCAGUGAGACAUCUAUCAGACAUCAGUCCCAGCAGAGAGACAGUGAGCUUCUUUCACCAUUUUGGCAACAUGGGCAAGCUCACUCUAACUGCAGGUCUCUGUGUGAUCAUCGCCAGCUUGGGUUUACCUGGCCUUGUGUCAUGAACUCCAUUAAUUGCUGGAAACCCCAGUACCAUUCAAGGAUACUGUCAUGGAAGAGUGGAUGGGCCCUACACUUACCCUGUUGACCAACAUUUUUAUUACAUCUGUGUAGCUGGAAUAACCUACGUCCAACCAUGCCCUCCAGGUUUGGUGUAUAAACCAUUGGAAAAUGCCUGUGACUAUGCUUAACCCUAGCAGUACACCUAAAGGAUACUGUCACGGUAGAAAAGAUGGGAACUAUCGCAACCCUGAUGACCGACAUUCAGGCCCGUAGAGAUCACCCCCGCAGCCCCCGCGGUGCGGGGGGGCCUCGCGUGGCAAUUUUUAAUUUUUAAUUUUAAUUUUUAUAUAUAUAUUUU